rnacentral:rRNA from 1 species
CUACGGGAUGCUGCAGUGGGGAAUAUUGCACAAUGGAGGAAACUCUGAUGCAGCAACGCCGCGUGGAGGAUGACACUUUUCGGAGCGUAAACUCCUUUUAUAUAGGAAGAAGAUGACGGUACUAUAUGAAUAAGCGCCGGCUAACUCCGUGCCAGCAGCCGCGGUAAUACGGAGGGCGCAAGCGUUACUCGGAAUCAAUGGGCGUAAAGAGCGUGUAGGCGGAUUAAAAAGUCAGAAGUGAAAUCCUAUAGCUUAACUAUAGAACUGCUUCUGAAACUCUUAAUCUAGAAUGUGGGAGAGGUAGAUGGAAUUUCUGGUGUAGGGGUAAAAUCCGUAGAGAUCAGAAGGAAUACCGAUUGCGAAGGCGAUCUACUAGAACAUUAUUGACGCUGAGACGCGAAAGCGUGGGGAGCAAACAGGAUUAGAUACCCCCGUAGUC